AGCCUACAAGAGAUCGCGUCAAAAAUAGAGGAGGAGGCGCGUGACAGGGGAUCAGCUUCGAACUUCCUCCUCCGAUCGCCGACCACCUUCUCCGCCGAAAGCGGUCAUCGGUAGGUCAAGGGAUUUUCCUUCCUCCGGUGAUCGUGCAUUCACCUUCCCUCCAUCAGCGCAAUCCACCGAGGCUUCAUCUUCCGCGAUCCAUCGCCAUAUCAACCUUCACCAUCGUCGAACAUCCGCUAUCACGAGAGAAGGGGUUACCCAGUUCUUGGGAUUUUACAAUUUGUCCUAACCCUAAUUCUACAUCACCAAUGCUUGGAUCCAAUAACAACUCUGUUCACAUUCAUUCCUAUCAUCUCCAAAGCUGAUCCUCCAUCCUUGGCCACUGCUGAUUUGCUUCUCCCUUACAGAUCCGAUCCGACACAAGAUUAGGAUGCCCUAGCUUGGUUGUACGAGAACUCACAAGGAUAAUUUAUUGAGUCGUAUUCAGCAUAUCAGAGCCCACGGGGAUUUCAGGAUGAUUAUAUUCCUACUUGGUUACAACCAUGCUAACAAGUCGAGCCAACUUACUAGGAGCAAUCCAAGACUAUAGCAAAGAGUUUCUGCCCUCAAUCAAAUAAAAACUUCAAUGCAAAAAAUAGAUGAGCUCUUGUAGCAAAAUGAAGCACACAUGCUCCAGUCUCGAUAAAAAAAUGAAGUGUCAUUACAGAAUUGCCAAAUACAGUUGGAUCAAAUUGCAACAUCUAUUAGCUAGCUACAAGCGCAAGGCUCCAGUCAAUUCCACUCAGAGAUCAUUCCUUACGGGAUUGACCUGUCUUAGGAGAUGGAUUGUGAAGUUUGUAGUAAUAUUGUCUCUGAGUCUACAACUCUAUAUGAUUCCUCUACUUCCUUGCAUUGUGAUAUUGUAGUUGUAAAUGAUCCUUACUCUGAUAUUAUUGUUGUUGCAGAUUCUGUUUGUAAAAUUUUUAUUGACACUGUUGAUGCUGUAGGAGUAGAUUUGGUUGAUGAUGUAGGUGUUGUUGAUGAUGAUGGGGAGCUAGUUGAGUAUGACUAUGCUUUUGUUGAUAAGGAGAGUGUAGGAACUUUUGUUGUGGAGCCAGAGCCCCAAGAAUCAUUUCCUUUAGUUGUACUACCACUAGAGCUAGAGCCUUUACCCGAACAAGAGGAUGCCAUAUUCAUAUCUUCAGAACCUCCAGGGAUUGACAUUAUUCCAUCUUUUUCAUACCCCGCAUGCGUACAGGAAGUGUUGUCUUUUCUUGGCUUUGUUCUAAAGUGGGUGCUUAAAUUGAACCGUCUCAAACCUCCAAGAAUAACUUUCAAAGAGCACAAGGUGAAGGGAGCGGUCAUGACUUCAAUUUGUAGCAUUCCACUUUCAUAAUGGCUCCUAUACCUAAGCUGUCUUCAACCACCUAGAGGUACCAUCGAGGAGACAUCUGGAGGGAGUGACAUUUAUUGACACUAAUCUCUUGAGCAUAACUCUCUCCUCCACAAGGACCAUCCAUCCCACUACCGGUGUGGAUAUUGCUCUUGAAUCGUCUUCAACUGCCAAGAAUAAAGAGGAAAUUCGGGUCAAGAGAAGCAAGGAAAACAAAGGGUUGCAGAAUCUGGAGUAGGAUGAUGAAUAGAGUGAAGUGUAUGAGAUGAAUGGCUGCAGUAAUUAGAGAAUGGUGUGGCUGCUAUGAGCAACUCAUUCAAUUAUGGAUUUUGUCAUUUCUAUAUUAACUAGAAUCUUCAAAUCUAAACAAGAGCUUCUGCUGAAUCUGAAUUUUCAAGGCCUGUUUCCUUGGACAAAUUUCUGAAAAUUGGAAAAGAAAAUCAGAGCAUGCAACUCCAGUGAGUUGAUUUUUGAAACUGCCUAAUUGAUUCCUGAAACUUCAUUGUGCAAAUUGUCAAGUAUCUGAACUCAAAUUCAAUUCGAUUGCUGAACCACCGAAGAUACACAUCAAAUUAGAGAAGAGUUUAAGGACAUAGAAGUCAUAAUUUCCUUUUGGCAACUUAAAAUUUUGAGGUCUUGCUGAAUUCUAAAUUCUGAAGAUCAGACAAUACAUAAAUCCAAAUUCUGGAUUAGCCCAAUUCUGGAUUUUUGCUGAAAGAAAAAAAAAUCAAGAUGCAGACAAUACAUAAAUCCAAAUUACUGCUAAGGAAUUGCUGAAAUUGCUGAAACAGAAUUCUAAAAAAACUGUAAACUUGUUUGCGUGCCAAGUUGAAUUGCAGUUCCUAAUCAGUGACAACCUCAAGUGAGGUUUCUAUCCUUCCAUUGUUAGUUGGUGUUACAAUCUCUCCAAUCCUGCCAAGUGUUCAAAACCUGUAAUUUGCUGAAUGCUGAUUCUGAAACUGAAGUGCUGAAAAAUCAGAGCUUAGUUUCAAUUCUGAAAUUUCUUUUUAAGCAGGAUUUCUGAUUCUGGUUUGAAGACAUGAAUUGCAGAAAUUAAUUCCAUCUUAGAGACUCCUAGCAGAUGCUUUUGGGGAUGGAUUGAGUUGUUUUUAGCUGAAUGCUACAUUAGUUUAGUAGGACAAUUUGAGAGCAUUUCCAAGUCCUGGUGUGGCUGUUAGCUCUGAAUGAUGCUGCUGAAAAAUGUCCACAGCCAUUCUUAUCUCAGAAACUUAAAAAAAUCUGUACAAGGGUUGGAAAGUCUGUCAAUAGCAGAUGGAAUGAUGCAAGAUCUUGUUGCUGGAAAAGGUUUCAAAGAAACAGGAAGUUUCAGGGAUUGCUGAAAGUUGAAGAAAUUGCUAAAUUCUAAUCCUUAACUUUUUGAAUUGAUGCUGCUGUAUUUCCAGAAAUGGUUUCUGAAACUCAGUCCAGAAACUGAAAUUUUCUGCUGUAAUUCUGCAUUUGUUGGGAGCCACAUCAUUCUCAGUUGGUGUGGAGUAGCCAUGAACCUGAAAGAGAAUUUAGGCUGUUGUGUAGGAAUUUAUCAAAGUUGUUGAUUUUGGAUGUUGCUGGAAAUAAUUGCCCACAGCAGGUUGUAAUUCAAGGGUUGCUGUCUUGCUGAUUGGUAUAGUUAUUAAACCUUGUUUUGGUUCUUUACUUAUGCAAUAUGAAUGCAAUCAUUAAAGAUGUUCAGGUAACAAGUGCCAACUGCAGGGAAGAAAAGCUAAAAAUUUUCUUGAAUCUGAGUUUUCAGGCCAGUUUCUGAAUUCUGGGAAGCUAGUUGUUGUUGAUAAUUGAGAAACCCUUUGAAUGUUAAUUUGAGUGCCUAAAAUCUGUGAUGAGCCUUGAAUCUUCCUCCCAAUGAAGUGUAUAUGAUAGACAAAGGAAUCAUGAGCUACUGGAAUUGUAGAUGCAAGAGACUGCAAUACGGAAAAAUUUGAAGAAACUGUUGCAUAUCAAAUUUGUUUGCAGGGUUCUAAUCAGUGAGAAAUCCAUGUGGAGUUUUUAAUCUUUUAUUGUCAUUUGGUGUCCAACUCUUCUCAAGUUCCUUAUGAACAAAAAUUUGAAACUUGCCAGGAAUUAAAGUUCUGAAACUAACACUGAAAGCUGAUUUCUGAAGUUGAAGCUAUUGGGAAGGAGAAAUUCAAGAGAGGGAGUUGCUGAAAUAAUCCAGCUGUUGGAUUGUCACAAACAUGUGAAACCGGCUCAGUAGAAGUGAACUCUGAAGUAACAGAGAAUUCAAUCAGACUUGUACAUUACUGCAGAGGAAGAAAUAAGAAUCAGUAACACUCAAGCGCAGGAAUUGAGAAGUUUUAUCAAGCACUUUGAUGCAGGGAGGUUACUGAAUUCUUUGAUAAUAUCGAUCAACUUCUGAUAGCCAGUCUUGAGCAGGGACUGAUGUAGGAGGAAUAUCCGGUGAACUAAUUGUAAUUGCUGAAUCACUCAUACAAAUCAAAGAGUUCCAUUCAUGAAUUCUGAUUUCUGAAGCUGGUUUUUGGGCUAUUGCAAUUCAGGGAUUGAGAAUUGAGAAGCCUCUUCUCAAAUUAUUGUUGUUGAUUCACCUCAAUCUUAAUUGGUCCUUCACCCAUACAAUUAAGAGAGUUGACAAAUAGAUUAACUAACAGUAAACUCAGGAUUUAGUCAAAGAGUUCUGCAUCUGUGUCAGAAGGAAAAAAAAACCUGUUUGAUACCAAAUCCAAGUGCUGUUAUUUCAGUACUAAAUGGGAUUCAUUGCUGAGCUAAAUUCUCCAUGAACUCAGCUGUAAUCACCUGGAAAUCAGAAUUCUGAAACUCAAUCCAGAAUUGCAGAAGUGCUUUGAGCUUGAGAAAUCCUGCUUGUCAAAGUAAUGAAACUGGCUUCUGCAAUUCCAAUUGAAGAUGUAUUCUGAAAAAACUGAAUUGAAUCUAUUACCUCACUUUAUCUCUGAAUUGUUGACAUUCAGCUUAGGAGAUUCACAUCAAAUUAAGAGGAUCUUGGAGGGCAGUAGGGCACUUCAAAGAAACUUGAUAGGAUUUCAAAGAAAUGAUGAAAGUUUAAUGGUGGAAUAAGGAAGUCUUAGAAGGGAUAAAAAUCUAAAGUUCAGGGGUGGUAUAUCUUGAAUGAAUGUGAUUAAUUUGAAGAGGAAACUAGAAAACCCCCAAAUAGGGAAACUUCUUGCCAGUUUCAUUUUUGACACAAUUAAAACAUAGCGAGUGGUGGUUAAAGAAUCUUCAUUGGAGUUGGUUGAUACAGACAAAAGCUCAACAAGACACAUUCGUUUUAUA